UAGAGAAAAGAGAAAUAUAAAUUCAUCUUAACAUUUAGUAGAACCGAAGUACCGGCAAACGUCGGAUCUCUUCGAUUUCUGUUCAAAUUCAUUAUUCAUCAUCUCAAAUAUAAUAUAAUUAUACUUUUUUUUAAAAUAAUAUUAAAGUCUUAUUAUCAAUAAAUAAUUAUAAAUUUAUAAUAAUUCGUAUAUAUAAGUAAAUAGAAAAAUUUUUUAAAUUAAAAAAAAAUUAAAAGUAAAAUUUCGAUCAUCUAUUUUCUUUGUGAAUAUUUAAAUAUUAUUUAAAAAUUUUUUUUUUCUUAAUUUUAUUUUUAUUUAUAUAAAAACAAGUAUGAAUAAAAUAAAUAAAAAUUAAUUUUCAACGAGUCUCAAGUGUGUUGUUUAUUGCAAAAACGAAAAAAAAAAAAAAGAAAAAAAAAAAAUCAAUAAUAAAUUAUUUAAACAAGUGUUUGAAGUUUUAAUAAUGUUUAAUUUAAAUUACAAGUGUUUAAUAAUAAUUUUAUUAACAAUAUAUUGUGUUAAAUCACAAUCAUCACAUGAAUUUCAUCAUAGAAAACGUUGUUCACGUGUAUUAUCUGAUGCAUUAUCAUUAUUAUGUGGUAAAAUAUACAAUAUGCCAAGUGCAUCACAAUUUGAUGAUUCAAAUGGUCCUGGUAUUGUUGAAGAAUGCUGUUACCAUGCAUGUAGCGUAUCACAAUUAGAAAAAUAUUGUGGUAAUCCAACGAGUAAUAAAUCAGAACAAUCACAAAAAGAUACUUGAGAAUGAACUCAGGGCACUGCACUGGACAUGCUUACAAAGUUCAACAUACAUCAGCUAAAAAAUUCAUAUAAAUAAGUUUUAUUCACGAUUGAUGAUCAAAUAUUCAAGAAAAAAAAAAAUUCAAAGAGGUCAAGCUUUUAUCAAAUAAACCUUCAAAAAAUGUAUAAAAGCAAAUUUUGCUUUUCUAUGUAUUUUAUGUUCGUCAAAAAAAAAAAGAAAAAAAAAAAAAAAAAAACGAUAAACUUUACA